UACGACAGGACGGAGAUGGAUCUGGUACUCCAACAUCCAAGUCAAUGAAUGCGUGAGAGGUAAUUUGAAUGUGUGAAUGAGACUAUACCUAAAAUGACACAUGUUGUAUUUUAUAUGAAACGGGCUGUUAAAAGUGUCUCCCCAAGAUCCAAUGUCUUGCGCCGGUGGUCGUCGAAUCUAAUCCAACAGGGAGAGUGUGUUGGAAGUUUGAAACACAUAUCCUCCAUGGAGAUAAGAACUCAUAUGUUUCAUGUGUCUUUCUUUUGUAAAGCUUAAUAUUGAACAUUUCAUCAUCGUAGAUGUUGCGAGCAGAAUAUAACAAAAUUAUAAUAACAAAGUAAAAUAAAGAGUAUCUCUUUUACUAAUAUUUAAUUAGAGUACACUUCAAUAUCAUUAUUAAAUAAACUAUAUACUUAAAAGAUGCUAAAGUUUUCUUUGAAAAUCAUGCUAGGGUUAGGGAGAAUAUAUACCGUGACCAUACAAUAUAAUCGGUACGUGAUUCUCUUUAAGAUAUUUUUAAUUUCCAGUUCGAUCAGUACAGUCUAAUUAAUGUUUAAAUUUACCCCAGCAACAACAAAAAUAUAUAAAUAAGAAUUAAUACAUGCAUGACAAUAUAGUGAAAAAGAGAAGAAUAAAGAUAGUAUAAGAAUUUUCAACACAUGGUUUCAAGACAUCAUAAGUAUUCAUUGUUCCUAUCUUAAAAUUGAAACAAAAGUUAACGAAUGUUAGUGUUCGGUUAUAAUCAUCCUAAAAGACAAUGAUAUUUGUAUAUGGUCUUUUCCUCUAUCUUUCUCCCACUGAUUUUCUUCUCCUUUUUAUCUUUUUUAGUUAGUGGUCAAUGAUUAUAUAUGUUUAUGCAUUUAUACAAUGUAUAAUUGUUAGGUGACAAUGUUCUUAUCAAAAAAAGAAUCAACAAAAAGUAACAAAAGGUGAU
rnacentral:lncRNA from 1 species